AAUAUAACUUGAGGAAAAUUAUGUUACGUAAACACAUGCAAAUAUAUUAUAUAUGUGAACAAUAGCGACUCUAAGUAAAUUUAGACAGCAUUUGAACUAGUCCUGGCACUGGGUGUGCCGAGACUGGUUCGCAUGUAACUUGAGGUUUAUGGAAUGUGAGAACUUGGGGAAAAAAGAUAUUUGUGGAAAAAGGCUCUUUCAAGAGAGGAACAGC
rnacentral:lncRNA from 1 species